UACGGGGGGGGCAAGCGGUUGUUCGGAAUUACUGGGCGUAAAGGGUGUGUAGGUGGCGCCGUAAGUCGGGUGUGAAAUUUCGGAGCUUAACUCCGAAACUGCAUUCGAUACUGCCGUGCUUGAGGACUGGAGAGGAGACUGGAAUUUACGGUGUAGCGGUGAAAUGCGUAGAUAUCGUAAGGAAGACCAGUGGCGAAGGCGGGUCUCUGGACAGUUCCUGACGCUGAGGCACGAAGGCCAGGGGAGCAAACGGG
rnacentral:rRNA from 1 species